rnacentral:rRNA from 1 species
UUGAACGCUGGCGGCAUGCUUUACACAUGCAAGUCGAACGGCAGCGGGGGCUUCGGCCUGCCGGCGAGUGGCGAACGGGUGAGUAAUGCAUCGGAACGUACCCAGUCGUGGGGGAUAACUACGCGAAAGCGUAGCUAAUACCGCAUACGCCCUGAGGGGGAAAGCGGGGGACCUUCGGGCCUCGCGCGAUUGGAGCGGCUGAUGUCGGAUUAGCUAGUUGGUGGGGUAAAGGCCUACCAAGGCGACGAUCCGUAGCUGGUCUGAGAGGAUGAUCAGCCACACUGGGACUGAGACACGGUCCAGACUCCUACGGGAGGCAGCAGUGGGGAAUUUUGGACAAUGGGGGCAACCCUGAUCCAGCCAUGCCGCGUGCGGGAAGAAGGCCUUCGGGUUGUAAACCGCUUUCGGACAGAAAGAAAUCGCUGCUCCUAAUACGGGUGGUGGAUGACGGUACUGUAAGAAGAAGCACCGGCUAACUACGU